rnacentral:rRNA from 1 species
AUUGAACGCUGGCGGCAUGCUUUACACAUGCAAGUCGAACGGUAACAGGCCGCAAGGUGCUGGCGAGUGGCGAACGGGUGAGUAACGCAUCGGAACGUGCCCAGUCGUGGGGGAUAACGCAGCGAAAGCUGCGCUAAUACCGCAUACGAUCUAUGGAUGAAAGCGGGGGACCGUAAGACCUCGCGCGAUUGGAGCGGCCGAUGUCAGAUUAGGUAGUUGGUGGGGUAAAGGCUCACCAAGCCAACGAGCUGUAGCUGGUCUGAGAGGACGACCAGCCACACUGGGACUGGGAGACGGCCCAGACUCGGACGGGAGGCAGCAGUGGGGAAUUUUGGACAAUGGGCGCAAGCCUGAUCCAGCAAUGCCGCGUGCAGGAAGAAGGCCUUCGGGUUGUAAACUGCUUUUGUACGGAACGAAACGGUCCUGGUUAAUACCUGGGGCUAAUGACGGUACCGUAAGAAUAAGCACCGGCUAACUACGUGCCAGCCGCCGCGGUAAUAC